GACAGAGGGGGCAAGCGUUGCUCGGAAUCACUGGGCGUAAAGGGCGCGUAGGCGGGAUGGCAAGUCGGUCGUGAAAUCUCUCGGCUCAACCGAGAAACGUCGGCCGGAUACUGCCGUUCUUGAGGGAUGCAGAGGAGACUGGAAUUCCCGGUGUAGCGGUGAAAUGUGUAGACGAUCGGGAGGAACACCAGUGGCGAAGGCGACUACCUGGCCUGUUCUUGACGCUGAGGCGCGAAAGCUGGGGGAGCAACGGG
rnacentral:rRNA from 1 species